rnacentral:lncRNA from 1 species
CACUUCUUCGAGUGUUGCCGGAGCGACGCCAAGUCCUGAAACAUCAUCUUACAAAUUACUCACUGUCCUGAAAUAUAAGGAAUUUUAUUUUUUCUUAAGUCAAACUAGCUAGAGUAAAAUUGAUCAAGUUUAUAGAAAAGAAGAAAAAUACUUAGAACAUGAAAUUAGCUUAACUAGCUAUAUUAUAAAAUAUAUUUUUAUAAUAUAUCCCUUUGAUGUGCUAGAUUUUAAUAGUUAAAAUUAUUAUUAUAGCUUGACGUAGGACAAAAUUGGAUUCCUUAUAUUUCAAGACAAAGGGAACAAUACAUUACAAAUGGGAAGCAACAAUAGUUAAACACACAAGCCCGACUCAGGUCCUAUCGCAUUAACUAAUCAAAUCCUCCUUAAUUAGGCUGAGUUCGCUCACCGGAUCAUUCUAGUUAGGGAUAAAGUCGGAUCGGAUAUAGGAACUAUUAUAGCUUUUCAAAAUUGUACAAAUUAGUGAAUAAAAUCCAACUAGAAUCAUUCCGGUUAGGGAUGAAACCAGGAUUGGAUAUACAAAGAUACCAGUGAUCCUACAUUAUGCCCCUUACCCCAUAUUUUUUUUCUCGGAUAUUCGAACUAGAUAUAGAUCAUUCGGAUAUUGGUAUCUAUUCUAUAUAUACAUAUCAAAAUUCAAGCUUGAGUAUUUGGAUUCAGACACGGUCAGAUAUUAAAAGUUUGAAUUCAAAUAUGGACUAUCCAUAAAAGGUCUUGACCCUUUUAGGACGGAUUUCGAGAGAUAUCCAAUUCCAUUUUCACCGCUAAUUCCAUUGACUCAAUCCAGAGCAACCGAACAAGACCUAGUGUAUCUGUAGUCUAUCCCUAAUCUCCUGGUAACCACGGCAUCGUCGCUCUCGCUGGAGACGCAGCCUCCUCUGUCCUCAUUCUUAUAUAUAUAUAUAACCACCAACCCCCUCGAGCCAUG